GACUGGACUCGGUCACUUUUUGCCCAGGACUUGGCAGAGACAUGUAACCCACAGCUCUGCUGGGGAUUUAGGAACCUGCUUGUGUGCAAGAAAACAGUAAAGAAAAUCUAAAGAAAACAAGCGGAUCCCUUUUAGGGACACCCCAAAGCCAGAAAACCCAAGCUGAUCACGGCCAGCCUCAGGGAGGAGCACUGUGCAGUCAGCUUGCCUCUUCCAGUUUGGAGACAUGCAUCUGUACAAACCUGCCUGUGCGGACAUCCCCAGCCCCAAGUUGGGGCUGCCUAAAUCCAGUGAAUCUGCUCUCAAAUGCAGACGACAUCUAACAGUGACCAAGACCCAGCCCCAGGCAGUUUGCUGGCCUGUUCGGCCCAGUGGAGCUGCAGAACGGAAAUAUCUGGAGAAGUUUUUACGCGUCCAUGGAAUUUCGCUACAGGAAACCACCAAGGCGCAGACGGGCAUGGUGUACAGGUACUGUCAAUUGCGAUAUUACCCAACCAGGGC
rnacentral:lncRNA from 1 species